rnacentral:rRNA from 1 species
UCCAUGCGAGCUACACUGCAGUCGAGCGGUAGAGAGAGCUUGCUUCUCUUGAGAGCGGCGGACGGGUGAGUAAUGCCUAGGAAUCUGCCUGGUAGUGGGGGAUAACGUUCGGAAACGGACGCUAAUACCGCAUACGUCCUACGGGAGAAAGCAGGGGACCUUCGGGCCUUGCGCUAUCAGAUGAGCCUAGGUCGGAUUAGCUAGUUGGUGAGGUAAUGGCUCACCAAGGCGACGAUCCGUAACUGGUCUGAGAGGAUGAUCAGUCACACUGGAACUGAGACACGGUCCAGACUCCUACGGGAGGCAGCAGUGGGGAAUAUUGGACAAUGGGCGAAAGCCUGAUCCAGCCAUGCCGCGUGUGUGAAGAAGGUCUUCGGAUUGUAAAGCACUUUAAGUUGGGAGGAAGGGUUGUAGAUUAAUACUCUGCAAUUUUGACGUUACCGACAGAAUAAGCACCGGCUAACUCUGUGCCAGCAGCCGCGGUAAUACAGAGGGUGCAAGCGUUAAUCGGAAUUACUGGGCGUAAAGCGCGCGUAGGUGGUUUGUUAAGUUGGAUGUGAAAUCCCCGGGCUCAACCUGGGAACUGCAUUCAAAACUGACUGACUAGAGUAUGGUAGAGGGUGGUGGAAUUUCCUGUGUAGCGGUGAAAUGCGUAGAUAUAGGAAGGAACACCAGUGGCGAAGGCGACCACCUGGACUAAUACUGACACUGAGGUGCGAAAGCGUGGGGAGCAAACAGGAUUAGAUACCCUGGUAGGCCACGCCGUAAACGAUGUCAACUAGCCGUUGGAAGCCUUGAGCUUUUAGUGGCGCAGCUAACGCAUUAAGUUGACCGCCUGGCGAGUACGGCCGCAAGGUUAAAACUCAAAUGAAUUGACGGGGUCCGUACAAGCGCG